GUGAGGAAUUUUCCGCAAUGGGCGAAAGCCUGACGGAGCAAUGCCGCGUGAAGGAUGAAGGCCUAUGGGUUGUAAACUUCUUUUCUCAGAAAAGAAUUAUGACGGUAUCUGAGGAAUAAGCAUCGGCUAACUCUGUGCCAGCAGCCGCGGUAAGACAGAGGAUGCAAGCGUUAUCCGGAAUGAUUGGGCGUAAAGCGUCUGUAGGUUGUUUAAAAAGUAUUCUGUCAAAGAUUAGGGCUUAACCCUAGAUAGGCAGAAUAAACUUUUAAGCUAGAGUUUGGUAGAGGCAGAGGGAAUUCCCGGUGGAGCGGUGAAAUGCGUAGAGAUCGGGAGGAACACCAAAGGCGAAGGCACUCUGCUGGGCCAAUACUAACACUGAGAGACGAAAGCGAGGGGAGCAAAUGGGAUUAGAUACCCUUGUAGUCC
rnacentral:rRNA from 1 species